rnacentral:rRNA from 1 species
AAUCAACGCUGGCGGCGUGCCUAACACAUGCAAGUCGAACGAGAAAGUGGAGCAAUCCAUGAGUAAAGUGGCGACCGGGUGAGUAACACGUGACUAACCUACCCUAGAGUGGGGGAUAACCUCGGGAAACCGGGGCUAAUACCGCAUAACAUCACGAGGGGAAGAUCCUUGUGAUCAAAGGAGCAAUUCGCUCAAGGAGGGGGUCGCGGCUGAUUAUUGCCAGUUGGCGGGGUAACGGCCCACCAAAGCUAAGAUCAGUAGCCGGCCUGA